GAUGAAGAACGUAGCGAAAUGCGAUACGUAAUGUGAAUUGCAGAAUUCAGUGAAUCAUCGAAUCUUUGAACGCAUAUUGCGCUCUUUGGUAUUCCGAAGAGCAUGCUUGUUUGAGUAUCAGUAAACACCUCAAAGCUUUUGGAUUUUUUAAUCGAAAAGCUUUGGACUUGAGCAAUCCCAACACCAAUCUUUUUGAGAUCGGUGGCGGGUUGCUUGAAAUGCAGGUGCAGCUGGACAUUCUCCUGAGCUAAAAGCAUAUUCAUUUAGUCCCGUAAAACGGAUUAUUACUUUUGCUGCAGCUAACAUAAAGGGAGUUUGACCGUAUUGGCUGACUGAUGCAGGAUUUCACAAGGGUCGGCAACGAUUCUUGUUAAACUCGAUCUCAAAUCAAGUAAGACUACCCGCUGAACUUAGGCAUAUCAAUAAGCGGAGGA
rnacentral:misc_RNA from 1 species